GGUCAAAUCUUUUAAUGUCCUCUAUGGGAACGACGUGUUUGUGCCCGUCCAAAUACCGCACAUAGGCAAACAUUUCUGAGGUAAAAUGCCGUUAUUUUUAAAAUUCUGUUGGCACGAGAGCCCUCUUUUAUGGCCUCAGGUUGGUAGCACGCGCGCGGUUAUCACCCAAAUCUGUUUCAAAUAAAUAAAUAAUAAAUUAUAUAUAUAUUAAGGUUAUCACCCAAACCUGUUUCAAAUAAAUAGAUAAUAAAUUAUGUGUGUAUAUAUUUAUAUGUGUGUGUGUGUGUGUGUGUGUGUGUGUGUGAGCGCUCACGUGUUUGUGUCUAUGUACAAGGUUGCUUACUAAAAUUUCUCUGUAUAGAUGCCGAAACGAAAAUAUAAAAAAUACCUGGAGCCUGGCAGUGUGUCCAUCAUACCUGCCAAAACCAGACAAAGGCUGGAGAAGAAGGUUGGUUUUGAGGCGGGAGAUCCAUCAUGGGCAAAAACCUCACAUUCAUACCAGACCCCUGCUGACAUGGUAGAAGCUAUUACAGGCACAAGUAAGGCCCUUUUGCUUGCAGACCAGACCUAUUCGGAUGAGUUCUCUUUGGAGGUAGAAGGCACCUCAAAGACAAACAUCACCUGCUCAUACUCAUGCCAGGCCAAAACUGAUGCACUUUUCCAACUUAAUGAGUUGGCUUCAGACUCAGAGGUAGUAUCAAAAUUUGACAUACCGGAGCCCUUAAAUGUAUUUUUUGAAUGUCUUUCUAAUAUAUAUCGAUCAAAGGUCACGUUAACCAAAAAUUAUCUGUCAUUGACAGAUUUUUUUUAGCAAUGGCUAAUAUAAUAUAAAUCUAUGGCUAGGUGUUGGGGAUGUAACUAUUCAAUCAACUCAUGAUUUGAUUCGAUUCACGAUUUUGAUUUCACGUUUUGAUUCACAUUUUUUUUUUAACACAUUGAGAUUUAAAACAAAUGAUAAAUUAAAUGUGCCCUUUUAAUAUUGCUUAGACUAAAUGCUGCAAGUUUCUUUGUGAAAUUGAAAUAUAACACUAUAAUAAUAUACGAAUAUAGCACUUGCAUAUUGUUGCUCUUUUGUUGGUUUUGAUUGAUUCCAUUGUCCUCAUUUGUAAGCAGCUUUGGCGAAAAGCAUCUGCUAAAGGACAAAAUUUAAAUAUAAUGUAAAUGUAAAUAACAAAACUAAAUUGAAAUUUUAAAACAAGCCCAAAUCAAAUAAAUAACACAAAUAAAAUCA
ensembl:lncRNA